CAGUAGAGCAAACAAAGUCAAGCGCCAGUGAGCUGAUAUGAGAGCUUUGGAAGGGGAUAUAUAAAAUAUUUUAGUUCAGUGAAGUCAACAAUAAAACUAUGACUAUGUAUUAAAAUAAAAAUAAAAGCAGCUUUAAUUGAAACCAACUAUCCGGAAAAAUCCAGAUGAAAAAAACAAAGAAUGGUUGCUGAGAGCUGAGGACAGAGGUAAUGGCACAGCAGCAGCAGCAGAGGGAAGAAACAUGACAAGGGUGGAAAGAGGAGUUUGUGCAUUUUUUUGGUCGAGGAGAGAGGAACAAAGAGUAGGUAGGGAGGGAGAAAAAGAAAGGCAGGAAACAGAGAGAAGUAGAGGAGGGGGAAAUGGGAGUGGGUUUGGUUUCAUUCAGAUGGAGAGGAGAAGAGAGAGUGAAAGAAAGAGAUUGGGGUGGGUGAGUUGAGCAGCAGGAAGAAGAAGAAGAGGAUGAAUGGUCUGUGUUGUGGAGUUCAAGACAGAGAGAGUCGAUGGAUGGAUGGUUAAUAUUAAAUGCG
rnacentral:lncRNA from 1 species